GAUGAACGCUGGCGGCGUGCUUAACACAUGCAAGUCGAACGGAAAGGCCCAAGCUUGCUUGGGUACUCGAGUGGCGAACGGGUGAGUAACACGUGGGCGACCUGCCCUGCACUUCGGGAUAAGCCUGGGAAACUGGGCCUAAUACCGGAUAGGACCACACCCUGGAUGGUGUGGUGGAAAGCUUUUCGGUGUGGGAUGAGCCCGCGGCCUAUCAGCUUGUUGGUGGGGUAAUGGCCUACCAAGGCGUCGACGGGUAGCCGGCCGGGGAGGGUGUACGGCCACAUUGGGACUGAGAGACGGCCCAGACUCCGACGGGGGGCAGCAGUGGGGAAGAUUGCACAAUGGGCGCAAGCCUGAUGCAGCGACGCCGCGUGGGGGAUGACGGCCUUCGGGUUGUAAACUCCUUUCGCUAGGGACGAAGCGUUAUGUGACGGUACCUGGAGAAGAAGCACCGGCUAACUACGUG
rnacentral:rRNA from 1 species